AAUAGUGCUGAACAGUCAGGUGACAUGUCACCGGGCCUCUGAAAUUCCUAGAUGAUCCUUCCUGUGUUUUGCUUUCCUGUGUAUUUUGAAGAGAAGAGCACAAGGAUAUUAAUGUCAGGCAAAGCUGCAGGGCUCCUGUAGGACCAUGGUGGUUGCGACUCUGCAUCCAGUUGGAUGUUCCCCGGCUUCCCAUCUUGUUGUUCUGAUGCUUCAAUCCUUUUUGUCAUCAAGACCUGUCUGCCAAUGCCUUGCAAAGCAAAUCUUUGCCAUGUCCCCGAUGACUGAGGACACAGAGGAUUCGGUUGCUGGCCUCAGCUGUGGUUCUCCUUUGCUGGAAGUUUUGAAGUAUCAUGAAACAGAAAAAAGUUGAAUUAUAUAUUUUAUUAAAUAUUUUGUAUUCGCGGUGUGUGUGCAUGUGCACGCGUGUGUGCUUUAAUGCCGCAGCAUUUGU